GAUGAACGCUGGCGGCGUUCCUAAUACAUGCAAGUCGAGCGAACAGACGAGGAGCUUGCUCCUCUGACGUUAGCGGCGGACGUGUGAGUAACACGUGGAUAACCUACCUAUAAGACUGGGAUAACUUCGGGAAACCGGAGCUAAUACCGGAUAAUAUAUUGAACCGCAUGGUUCAAUAGUGAAAGACGGUUUUGCUGUCACUUAUAGAUGGAUCCGCGCCGCAUUAGCUAGUUGGUAAGGUAACGGCUUACCAAUGCAACGAUGCGUAGCCGACCUGAGAGGGUGAUCGGCCACACUGGAACUGAGACACGGUCCAGACUCAUACGGGAGGCAGCAGUAGGGAAUCUUCCGCAAUGGGCGAAAGCCUGACGGAGCAACGCCGCGAGAGUGAUGAAGGUCUUCGGAUCGUAAAACUCUGUUAUUAGGGAAGAACAAAUGUGUAAGUAACUAUGCACGUCUUGACGGUACCUAAUCAGAAAGCCACGGCUAACUACGUG
rnacentral:rRNA from 1 species